rnacentral:rRNA from 1 species
GACGAACGCUGGCGGCGUGCCUAAUACAUGCAAGUCGAACGCAUUUUCUUUCACCGUAGCUUGCUACACCGAAAGAAAAUGAGUGGCGAACGGGUGAGUAACACGUGGGUAACCUGCCCAUCAGCGGGGGAUAACACUUGGAAACAGGUGCUAAUACCGCAUAAUUCCAUUUACCGCAUGGUAGAUGGGUGAAAGGCGCUUUUGCGUCACUGAUGGAUGGACCCGCGGUGCAUUAGCUAGUUGGUGGGGUAACGGCCUACCAAGGCUGCGAUGCAUAGCCGACCUGAGAGGGUGAUCGGCCACACUGGGACUGAGACACGGCCCAGACUCCUACGGGAGGCAGCAGUAGGGAAUCUUCGGCAAUGGACGCAAGUCUGACCGAGCAACGCCGCGUGAGUGAAGAAGGUUUUCGGAUCGUAAAACUCUGUUGUUAGAGAAGAACAAGGAUGAGAGUGGAAAGUUCAUCCCUUGACGGCAUCUAACCAGAAAGCCACGGCUAACUACGUG